UCCGUAGGGUGAACCUGCGGAAGGAUCAUUG
rnacentral:rRNA from 3 species